rnacentral:rRNA from 1 species
GACGAACGCUGGCGGCGUGCCUAAUACAUGCAAGUCGAACGCAGUGGGGACGGGUGAGUAACACGUGGGUAACCUCCCAUCAGAGGGGAUAACACUUGGAAACAGGUGCUAAACCGAUACUGAUGGAUGGACCCGCGGUGCAUUAGCUAGUUGGUGAGGUAACGGCUCACCAAGGCCACGAUGCAUAGCCGACAUGUGGGGGUAAUCGCACACACUGGACGUGAGACGCGGCCGAGACUCCUACGGGAGGUAGCAGGAGGGACUCUUCGGCAAUGGACGAAAGUCUGACCGAGCAACGCCGCGUGAGUGAAGAAGGUUUUCGGAUCGUAAAACUCUGUUGUUAGAGAAGCGGUAUCUAACCAGAAAGCCACGGCUAACUACGUGCCAGCAGCCGCGGUAAAC